rnacentral:misc_RNA from 1 species
GAAAUCUUCAAAGUAAACCUUUUGUUAAUUCAAUUGGUUCCUUACUUUGGUAUUGGAGGUCUUUGCAGUUUCACAACUGCUCCUCUUUGUUCAUUAGCUGGAUCUCAGUGUUAUGCUUGGUUCCACUCGGCGUGAUAAGUAUCUAUCGCUGAGGACACUUGUAAAAAGGUGGCCAAGGGAAAUGCAGAUGAACCGCUUCUAACAGUCCAUUGACUUGGACAAUAAAUAAUUUAUGAUCUGAUCUCAAAUCAGGUAGGACUACCCGCUGAACUUAA